UACGAAGGGGGCUAGCGUUGCUCGGAAUCACUGGGCGUAAAGGGCGCGUAGGCGGACUCUUAAGUCAGGGGUGAAAGCCUGAGGCUCAACCUCAGAACUGCCUUUGAUACUGAGAGUCUCGAGACCGGUAGAGGUAAGUGGAACUGCGAGUGUAGAGGUGAAAUUCGUAGAUAUUCGCAAGAACACCAGUGGCGAAGGCGGCUUACUGGACCGGUUCGCGGCACGCUGAGGCGGCGAAAAGCGUUGGGGAGCAAACAGG
rnacentral:rRNA from 1 species